rnacentral:rRNA from 1 species
GCAGCCUGCAACUCGGCUGCAUGAAGCUGGAAUCGCUAGUAAUCGCGGAUCAGAAUGCCGCGGUGAAUACGUUCCCGGGUCUUGUACACACCGCCCGUCACACCAUGGGAGUUGGAAAUGCCCGGAGUCAGUGGCCCAACCGCAAGGAGGGAGCUGCCGAAGGCAGGUUCGAUGACUGGGGUGAAGUCGUAACAAGGUAUC